GGUGUCCGUGGUGUACUUCAAUCAGUCAUUGAAGCCGAAGAAGAUGAAUCAAAGAGAGGUUAGCGGUGAAGUUCCGGUCGAAGAUCAGAGUAUUGAUUUGUUGCUUUGAAGGAUGAGAUUAGAGAUCUAUUGAAGUUAUCAUCUCUGUUAUAAAGUACCUUUAAUUGUUUGUUGAAAUCUAUUGGUAGUUUGUUAUAAACUCAUCCCCAAAUUUCAGUUACGUGAUUUGAAGGAAGCGAAAGAAGAGGUUGCUAAGUACAAGAUUGAUGAGAAUGUUCAGAAGGAAACCAUAAACCACAAAUCCUUGAGGCAUCCAAAUAUUGUCAGGUUCAAAGAGGUCUUGUUGACUCCAAGUCAUUUAGCUAUUGUCAUGGAAUAUGCAGCUGGUGGUGAGCUAUUUGAGAGGAUAUAUAGUGCUGGUAGAUUUAGUGAAGCUGAGGUUAGUUCCUCGGUUUACAUGUUAGAUAGAAUCAUUACGUUUUUCUGCAUAUAGGAAUUAGUUAUUUAGAAGUUGUUGAUUCAUGAGUAUCUGUUGACUGCAAUUCCUCCACACAGCAGGUGUUGAUUUUUCUUCCAGCAGCUGAUAUGUGGAGUCAGCUACUGUCAGUCCAUGGUAAAUUAUAUUUGAUGCAGAUACAUUAUGAAAUGGUUUCCUUGUUUAAAAUAAUAUUGCUUCUUUUCUCACGUUAACCUCUUAUACAUUACAAUUACUUUAUAGUCUGUUGCUCUCUUACUUAAUGUUAAAAAAUUAGACACUUUGAGGCUGUGGUUAUAUCUAAGUGGGGAUUUUGAGUUCAGGUAUGUAAUGCUGCCUAUUUGGAUAUUGUUUAUUUAGCACAAGAUAAAUCAGUACUGACUGCUGCAUUCCAUUGGUAUGCAACAGAUCUCCCAUUUUCCUUUCUAGGAGCAAAUGAUUAUAUAUGGUUUACAUGCUCUAUCCAAAUUUUUAGGCUUUCAAAUUUGCUGGACUCGGUUUUUCUGUAGGCGUCAUUUGUUAGAAUUUCUUAAAUUACUUGUGUAAAAUUAAUUAGUU